rnacentral:misc_RNA from 1 species
UGGUUACCAAAAAGAGAGUCCUGAGUAAGUGCCUUUCUGAAUUUGAAUUAUAAUGAUAAAAUUUCUCUGCAUCCCAAAGUGCAUCAUUUUAUUAGUUUACAUUAUUUUGCGUUUUUUUAUAAAACAAACAAGUAAAUGAUUUUUGCACCAGAGAUAAGAGCUUGACGUGUAGAUACAGGUAUGUCAGGUUGUAGUUGGCUUUGACUCAAUGUUUUGCAAAGUAUAAUUUAAUUGAAGAUUAAAUAUCAAUUGCAACAGUCCGUGCUCUUCAUUUAAUGAGUUCUCCAAAAAUUUUAUUUACAAGAUUGCCACUAUAACAAGCAAUCUGCAAUUUGAGAGUACAUCUAUUGGAGUGAAUAAUAAGACCAAGGUGGUGAUCAUAAAAGCUCUAUGCAUAACAUGUGCAAUGUGUUUGGAAACCAAAUUCCACAAAAGUAGCAUUUGAUUUAGUGAAAGACCCAGUUGUCAGGAACACCAGUGCAAUGCAGCAAUCUCUUUUAUUAUAGCAGAACUCAUUUUGAAUGUUCCAAAGGAAAAAAAAAAAAGUGUCAUAUCUUGUUUAGAGGAUCAAGGAUUCACAUCCUGGUGAUUGCUGGUCUUAAGAAAAUUCUUCUCCAUGAUUCGUCUUUUUCUUAUGCUUAGGGAAGGAAUGAUGUGGCAGGGAAGGAAUGAUGUGGC